GCCCUUGUGGCGGAAUUGGUAGACGCAGUGGAUUCAAAAUCCACCGGUGGCAACACUGUGGGAGUUCGAGUCUCCCCGAGGGCACCA
rnacentral:tRNA from 1 species